rnacentral:rRNA from 1 species
UACGUAGGGGGCAAGCGUUAUCCGGAAUUACUGGGUGUAAAGGGAGCGUAGACGGUAAUGUAAGUCUGGAGUGAAAGGCGGGGGCCCAACCCCCGGACUGCUCUGGAAACUAUGUUACUGGAGUGCAGGAGAGGUAAGCGGGAUUCCUAGUGUAGCGGUGAAAUGCGUAGAUAUUAGGAGGAACACCAGUGGUGAAGGCGGCUUACUGGACUGUAACUGACGUUGAGGCUCGAAAGCGUGGGGAGCAAACAGG